UCCUCAACCCCUAAACUAACAAACAAUCAAACCCUAAGCUAUCAAUCUAUCAUCUCUGCUAUUAAAUCUUAAUGCUUCCGAUCAUCUCCCCGUUCGGCUGUGGUACCAGGACCUUGACAUCUCACAUGGGUCUGGCUGCAUAAUGUUGAAAAGUCAAAUUGUUCGAAGUCUUAAUGAGUGCAACUUUAGUAAUUUAAAUUAUCUUUCAAGCUGUUAUAUUUUUGUUAAGUUUGCAGUAUAUGUUUAGUUGCUCUGAAUUUAUGUUAUCAACUUUAGUAAAUACUGUUAGUAUGUUUUAAAAUUAUAUUUUGUUAUUGAGAAUGUUAUAUAAGUUUUAUUAGGUGAUUCUGUUUAA